GAUGAACGCUGGCGGCGUGCCUAAUACAUGCAAGUCGAGCGAACAGACGAGGAGCUUGCUCCUCUGACGUUAGCGGCGGACGGGUGAGUAACACGUGGAUAACCUACCUAUAAGACUGGGAUAACUUCGGGAAACCGGAGCUAAUACCGGAUAAUAUAUUGAACCGCAUGGUUCAAUAGUGAAAGACGGUUUUGCUGUCACUUAUAGAUGGAUCCGCGCCGCAUUAGCUAGUUGGUAAGGUAACGGCUUACCAAGGCAACGAUGCGUAGCCGACCUGAGAGGGUGAUCGGCCACACUGGAACUGAGACACGGUCCAGACUCCUACGGGAGGCAGCAGUAGGGAAUCUUCCGCAAUGGGCGAAAGCCUGACGGAGCAACGCCGCGUGAGUGAUGAAGGUCUUCGGAUCGUAAAACUCUGUUAUUAGGGAAGAACAAAUGUGUAAGUAACGAUGCACGUCUUGACGGUACCUAAGCAGAAAGCCACGGCUAACUACGUGC
rnacentral:rRNA from 1 species